GGUUUAAUUCGAAGCAACGCGAAGAACCUUACCAGGUCUUGACAUCGAUCUAAAAGGGAUGGAGACAUCCUCAUAGCUAUAGAGAAGACAGGUGGUGCAUGGUUGUCGUCAGCUCGUGUCGUGAGAUGUUGGGUUAAAGUCCCGCAACGAGCGCAACCCCUGUCGCCAGUUACCAUCAUUAAGUUGGGGACUCUGGCGAGACUGCCUCUGCAAGGAGGA
rnacentral:rRNA from 1 species